rfam:Enterococcus rivorum strain LMG 25899 1, whole genome shotgun sequence.
AGAGUGUUAUGAUGUUGGAGGAGACUCCGAGUCUAGCUCUGUGUUACUCACUGAUAGUAUUUCAGUGAGU